ACAUUUCCUUGUUUAAUGUUUUGCUGCCUUUUUAAUUGUAAGAAAAGAAAAUUGAUGUGAUUUUUACUAUUACAAGAUCAAAGCUAUAGAUUUAUAAAACUACAAGUGGGUUUUUUUAAUUCGAAAUACCGAUUUCCAAAUAAAAUUUGCAAUACCGAUUUACAAAUCAAUAAACUUGUCUAAGAGAUAUGCUUAAGAGAUUAUUAUUUUUUUUUAAUAUAACUCUGCCGGAGAGAGGUUCUUAUACCAAUCUUUUAGAGAGAUCCCCACUUAAUAUCAUUGUCUGGGUUGUUCGGAAUAGCCUUAAAUAUUAUCCUUGAACAGUUCAAGCAUACAUCAAUGUUAGUAGAGUUCUCAGCAUUGGUUUGCUCUAUUUUUAUUGAAUGUAUAACAUCAUCAAACAUGGAAACAUUUCCUUGUUUAAUGUUUUGCUGCCUUUUUAAUUGUAAGAAAAAAGUGUUAGUUAUAAAUUUUCCUGCUUGUUCCAAAUCUAAACAAACAUAUAUGCCACAGGAAAAAAUUAUUUUGUACAUAGAUCACCUUUUCAGGAGCCAUUAGCAACUGGCAGAGUAUCAUUUUCUCUCUUCCCUUAUCUUCAUAAAUUAUACUCUGUUCGCCACUGGGAUUUAAAAGGGCUAUUCCGAGAUCAAAUUUUAUGCCAUUAACCUCGUCUAAAAUGGUGCUAAUUUAAAUGAGAUGUUGCAUAAAUUUUUUUUUUUCAUAACGAUAUUAGUGUGAUAACUAAAUGGCCUUUGGUAACUCGAUAUCGGUUGGCAUCUAUCUCGAUACAUCAUCCCCUACACGUGUAUUACACGAAUUACACGAAUCGCCAUUGUUUAGCAAACGUGAAGUUAAUUAAGUAUUAACGGGGAUUAAUAAUCGUAGAAAACGUAUAACAUUUUAACCCCUUUUCCCUCCCUCUAUCAAAAUAUGCUUCUUAUGACUGAAGGGAUAGAGUUUUAAGCCAACUGAGUGUUCGUCAGGCAUGUUAACGUCCAUAAUAGUCACCUGAAUUGUAUUAAUCGUAUUGAAUGGUGGCGAUAAUGAGAAACGCUUUACCUUAGUUUGAUACAUAUCCAGGUAAUUUGCAGACUUAUUUUUCUAUGAGAUGCCAUAGGAUCUUAUAGAAUGUGAAAUGGCAUCUUUCUCUGUUUUACUCUAUUGCUUGGUUUCUGAUUAUUGUUAAGGUAUAAUUGAUCAGAAUGCUAUAAAUUACGUUUAACUCUUACGCAUUAAAACAUAGCACAUAGCCUUGUCUAUGUAUGAGCAAGAUAAAUGAAGAGCAUCAUCAUCACUAGUACAGUCUGCUUAAGUUUGCAUUUUCUCUCAGCGAUAUUCAUUAAUAUAACCGCAUGUUUACCGUUUCUGUACACCACUAAGGUUUUUACGUGAGUAGUUUUGUAUAGUAUAUCAGAUAAAGUGAUACGCGAUUCUCAUUCUUUACCAUUAUAUGAAUGUCAAACGUAUAGCAUGCUACAUUCUAUCAAGAGUGAUAAUUGUAUACGUUCUACAACCGACCCGUACGUGAAGGACAUUGUUAAACAUUUUAUACAAACUGCCGUUCUAAGAUUAACACACUGCUAGGAAGCAAAACAUACAUCAAAUUACACGCAAAGAGAGGAUACAGGAGCGUACUUACGAACUCUCUAUCUUCUCAAGAGUUUCGUUAUUGCAUACAAAGCUUUUAAACAUCCUUACUCGGUUUUCUCCUUCGGAUUAUGUAUUUUUUUUUUUACUUUGCAAUGCGAAUUUUCUCACUUAUCCGGAAUUAAACUGUAUGUUACCAUUGUAGUUUUAUUAAAGAAUUUCUCACAUUCCCGCUCGGAUAUCAUAACUGCUUACAUUGAACUUUGAAGUAACAAGCUACUCUAUCAAACACAAAUAAGGUCUCAUGUAAAGUAAUAAGAGUAAUGUAUUCGUAAGGGAAAUGUGUUUCGUGCAUGAAAUUUUCACUUCAUGCAUUAUUAAUGCACUGUAACUCGGGCCUUUUUGGUUCGAUGUACGUAUUGCAGCAUUGUAAACUACUAAAUCGUCGUACAUCGGAAAAGAAGACGUCGUAAAAAAAAGGCCUAAGAGGGAAUACUGUCACUUUUCAUAAAAGAAGAAAAGGAUUGAACAGUCCCUUAAGCUAUUUGUAUCCAGCAAUUCGCUAUUUUUGUUAUUAUUAUUUUUUUUUUUGUAACCCCAUCUUAGUCGAAAGUUUUAAAACCU
rnacentral:lncRNA from 1 species